AGUGGCGAUAGUAGUGGCAAGAGGAUGAACAACAAGUUUGAUGCUUUGAAAGAUGAUGACAAUGGGGACCAUGAUCAGAAUGAAGAAAGCAGCACACAGAAAGAUACUGAGAAAGAAAAAAACAGAAUGGGACAAGAAUAAGAGCAGUAACAAGAGGAAGGCUGUUGUCCCUGGACAGGCAGAGCAUCCCCUCCAGUAUAACUACACUUUCUGGUACUCCAGGAGAACCUCUGGCUGUCCCACCAGCUCACAGAGUUAUGAACAGAAUUAUCAAACAGAUUGGUGCCUUUGCCUCUGUGGAGCAGUUCUGGAGGUUUUAUAGCCACAUGAUAUGUCCAAAGGAUCUGACAGGCCACAGUUACUUCCAUCUCUUCAAAGAAGGAAUUAAACCCACGUGGGAGGAUAAUGCAAAUAAAAAUGGUGACAAGAGGAUUAUUUGGCUGCCGAAGGGCUUGAUCUCCCAUUGCUGGGAGAAUCUCAUUUGGCCAUGAUAGGGGAACAGUUCAUGGUUGGGGAGGAGAUCUGUGGGGCUGUGGUCUCUCUUCACUUUCAAGAGGACAUUAUUUCAAUAUGGAAAAGACUGCCAGUGACCAAGCAACCACAGCCCAAAUCCGGAAUACACUUUGGCGAGUGCUUAACCUAUCUCCCAACACCAUUGUGAAAUACAAAACUCACACUGACAGCAUCAAAAUGCCAGGCAGACUGGGCCCCCAAGGGCUCCUUUUCAAAGCCUCUGGAAGGUGUGGUUGAAAGUGCCAUGACCCUCUCCCUCUCCGGAUGGCACUAUCCUUGAAGCUGGUGUCAUUAGAGUCUCUUGUUCUGUUGGUGUGCUACCUGGAAGAUCCUUCUGUCCUGGACAAGAUAAUUAAAAGAGCAUUUUAUGUUUUAAGAACAGGCUGACACAGAGCAGCUACAACAACAGCUGAGAUUGCUCAAUAAACGGUGCUAAA